UACGUAGGGGGCAAGCGUUGUCCGGAAUCAUUGGGCGUAAAGAGCGUGUAGGCGGCCAGAUAAGUCCCGCUGUGAAAUCUCGAGGCUCAACUUCGAGCUGUCGGUGGAAACUGUCUGGCUAGAGUCCGGAAGAGGAGAAUGGAAUUCCUGGUGUAGCGGUGAAAUGCGCAGAUAUCAGGAGGAACACCAAUUGCGAAGGCAGCUCGCUGGAACGUAACUGACGCUGAGACGCGAAAGCGUGGGGAGCAAACAGG
rnacentral:rRNA from 1 species